UACGAGGGGGCAAGCGUUGUUCGGAAUUAUUGGGCGUAAAGGGCGCGUAGGCGGUUUGACAAGUCUGAUGUGAAAUCUAUGGGCUCAACCCAUAGCCUGCAUUAGAAACUGUCGGGCUUGAGUACGGAAGAGGCGAGUGGAAUUCCUGGUGUAGCGGUGAAAUGCGCAGAUAUCAGGAGGAACACCAAUUGCGAAGGCAGCUCGCUGGGACGUUACUGACGCUGAGACGCGAAAGCGUGGGGAGCAAACAGG
rnacentral:rRNA from 1 species